rnacentral:misc_RNA from 1 species
CUAUUUAAGCAACUCAAUCGCACUCUAGUGUUCCUCAGAAUAGCAGAGAUACGUGGAGGACAACAUGUAAUUGUCAUUCUGCUCUGCCCUAGACCUCUCGCCCUCUGGGUGGGAUGAUAUGCGAACCGAGGCGAUUUCUGCGACGCGUUGUAUUUCCUUUCCGAUGACGAGGCUCAGGGUGUGACCAUUGGCUUACUCGUAGCCGUUUUGGCCUGAGUAUGAAACUGGAGACUGUUUUGUGCAAGCACCCCACCUUUUUGGGGAAGGCCGCCUGCACGCAGGCACUAGCAUCCUUACUCUCUCCCUAGUGAAGUGUGCGUGCAGAAGCUGUUGGUGACACGUUCUACUGUUUUUUUUUUUGUCCCCCAAUGCUCUUUAGAGGGAACGGACAACAUUAGCGAGAUGCAAGUCUAAUGGCGGUUUGCUCUUCACAGAUGCCGAUUCUACCUUUUCGUUGACUAGAUGAGCCUUCUUUCCGCGCUGCGCAAGGGCGCCUAUUUGUUGACUUUGCCGACUGGGUUUCAGUCUAUGCAUGUAUCACGACUACUUUCUUUCUCCUUUGCAUUUCUUUGUUUGCCCCUCUCGCUGCCGCGAAUUCAG